rnacentral:rRNA from 1 species
AUUGAACGCUGGCGGCAGGCCUAACACAUGCAAGUCGAGCGGAGCGGCGGAGGGGUGAGGAAUGCCUAGGAAUCUGACUGGUAGUGGGGGAUAACGUACGGAAACGGGCGCUAAUACAGCAUACUAUCAGCAGAGCCUAGGUCGGAUUAGAUAGUUGGUGGGGUAAAGGCCAACAAAGGCGACGAUCCGUAACUGGUCUGAGAGGAUGAUCAGUCACACUGGAACUGGGACACGGUCCAGACUCCUACGGGAGGCAGCAGUGGGGAAUAUUGGACAAUGGGCGAAAGCCUGAUCCAGCCAUGCCGCGUGUGUGAAGAAGGUCUUCGGAUUGUAAAGCACUUUAAGUUGGGAGGCGUUACCAACAGAAUAAGCACCGGCUAACUUCGUGCCAGCAGCCGCGGUAAUUC